rnacentral:rRNA from 1 species
GGAUGAACGCUAGCUACAGGCUUAACACAUGCAAGUCGAGGGGCAGCAUGGUCUUAGCUUGCUAAGACUGAUGGCGACCGGCGCACGGGUGAGUAACGCGUAUCCAACCUUCCCCAUAGUAGAGGAUAGCCCGGCGAAAGUCGGAUUAAUACUCUAUGUUCUCAAUGCAGACAUCUAGGUUGAAGCAAAGAUUCAUCGCUAUGGGAUGGGGAUGCGUCUGAUUAGGGUUGCAGGCGGGGUAACGGCCCACCUGGCCGACGAUCAGUAGGGGUUCUGAGAGGAAGGUCCCCCCACAUUGGUACUGAGACACGGACCAAACCCCUACGGGAGGCAGCAGUGAGGAAUAUUGGUCAAUGGGCGCGAGCCUGAACCAGCCAAGUAGCGUGCCAGGAAGACUGCCCUAUGGGUUGUAAACUGCUUUUAUAGGGGAAUAAAGUGAGGCACGUGUGCCUUUUUGUAUGUACCCUAUGAAUAAGGACCGGCUAAUUCCGUGCCAGCCGCAGC